AAAAGAUGGUAAACCGACAAUUAGGGGUAGCUUAGUGAGGGGUUUACAAAUCGGGUUGAAUCGAGUAAACCGAGAUCCGCUUUGGAGAUAAGCAGGGGGGUGAAGGCCAUGUGACCUAGGCAAAGGACCAGGAUUAGAUACCCUGUUACUCUAGGCGUUAAGUACAAGCCAGCUUAGUGGUUUUGCCGGGCAACUACGUUCUAACGAGUAAAAGCCAAAGUACCUGGCGGUUUAAGAUAUCUCGUCUCGUGAGACUUGACGGUUAAUCCGAUGAUCCGCGUUACACCCUACCCGUUUUAGCGAGUGGUCCUACAGUUGGUGUAUGGUCGUUGUCAGCUCUUGUUGUGAGGCGCUGAGGAAUGGAAGCAUAAUUCGUUGGAACCGCUAGUAUUAUGAGGGGGUGGACUGUGGAACGCAGUGUUUAGAACGAGUGAAGUCAGAUCGUUAUGCCGCCAAAAAAUGGGGCUUAGUUGAGUCACAUUGAUUAGAUCAAACGGAAACUCUCUUGAAAUAGGGGGUGGAAGAAGGAGUGAGUAGUAGUAGGGAAAUAGUACGUCUCUACGAAUAGUAAAUUCUUAAGUGUACAGAUCGCCCGUCGCCUCCGGGGAGACUUGGAGA
rnacentral:rRNA from 1 species